GACGUAGGGCGCGAGCGUUGUCCGGAUUUAUUGGGCGUAAAGAGCUCGUAGGCGGCUUGUUGCGUCGGCUGUGAAAACCCGCAGCUCAACUGUGGGCUUGCAGCCGAUACGGGCAGGCUAGAGUUCGGCAGGGGAGACUGGAAUUCCUGGUGUAGCGGUGAAAUGCGCAGAUAUCAGGAGGAACACCGGUGGCGAAGGCGGGUCUCUGGGCCGAUACUGACACUGAGGAGCGAAAGCGUGGGGAGCGAACAGG
rnacentral:rRNA from 1 species